rnacentral:rRNA from 1 species
GAUGAACGCUGGCGGCGUGCCUAAUACAUGCAAGUCGAGCGAACGGACGAGAAGCUUGCUUCUCUGAUGUUAGCGGCGGACGGGUGAGUAACACGUGGAUAACCUACCUAUAAGACUGGGAUAACUUCGGGAAACCGGAGCUAAUACCGGAUAAUAUUUUGAACCGCAUGGUUCAAAAGUGAAAGACGGUCUUGCUGUCACUUAUAGAUGGAUCCGCGCUGCAUUAGCUAGUUGGUAAGGUAACGGCUUACCAAGGCAACGAUGCAUAGCCGACCUGAGAGGGUGAUCGGCCACACUGGAACUGAGACACGGUCCAGACUCCUACGGGAGGCAACAGUAGGGAAACUUCCGCAAUGGGCGAAAGCCUGACGGAGCAACGCCGCGUGAGUGAUGAAGGUCUUCGGAUCGUAAAACUCUGUUAUUAGGGAAGAACAUAUGUGUAAGUAACUGUGCACAUCUUGACGGUACCUAAUCAGAAAGCCACGGCUAACUACGUG